rnacentral:rRNA from 1 species
CUCCAGAUAAAUUAUUUGAGGUACAUCCUGCCCAGUGUUCAAUAUAAACGGCCGCAGUAUCCUGACUGUGCGAAGGUAGCAUAAUCAUUUGCCUCUUAAUUAGAGGCUAGUAUGAAUGGACACACUAAUUUUUACUUUAUUUGAUUGAUUUUAUAGAAUUUAGUUUUUAGGUGAAGAAACCUAAAUACCUUAGAAAGACAAGAAGACCCUAUUGAGUUUUAUCUUAUAAUAAAUAAAAAGAUUUUGUUGGGGCGACCUGGGAAUAAAUUAAUCUUCCCUAAUAUCUAAGGAAACCAUAAUAAUGAUCCUAAAGGAAUAUAGAAUAAACUACCAUAGGGAUAACAGGCUAAUUUUUUCAGAGAGUUCAUAUUAAAGAAAAAGUUUGGCACCUCGAUGUUGGCUUGAAGAAUCUUUUAGGUGUAGUAGCCUGAUAAAGAUAGUUUGUUCAACUAUUAAAUCUUCACGUGAUCUGAG